rnacentral:rRNA from 1 species
CCUACGGGAGGCUGCAGUGGGGAAUAUUGGACAAUGGGCGAAAGCCUGAUCCAGCCAUGCCGCGUGUGUGAAGAAGGCCUUCGGGUGGUAAAGCACUUUCAGUGGGGAAGAAAGCCUUGGGGCUAAUACCCUCGAGGAAGGACAUCACCCACAGAAGAAGCACCGGCUAACUCCGUACCAGCAGCCGCGGUAAUACGGAGGGUGCGAGCGUUAAUCGGAAUUACUGGGCGUAAAGCGCGCGUAGGCGGUCUGAUAAGCCGGUUGUGAAAGCCCCGGGCUCAACCUGGGAACGGCAUCCGGAACUGUCAGGCUAGAGUGCAGGAGAGGAAGGUAGAAUUCCCGGUGUAGCGGUGAAAUGCGUAGAGAUCGGGAGGAAUACCAGUGGCGAAGGCGGCCUUCUGGACUGACACUGACGCUGAGGUGCGAAAGCGUGGGUAGCAAACAGGAUUAGAUACCCUUGUAGUC